rnacentral:rRNA from 1 species
UACGUAGGGCGCAAGCGUUAUCCGGAAUUAUUGGGCGUAAAGAGCUCGUAGGCGGUUUGUCGCGUCUGCCGUGAAAGUCCGGGGCUCAACUCCGGAUCUGCGGUGGGUACGGGCAGACUAGAGUGAUGUAGGGGAGACUGGAAUUCCUGGUGUAGUGGUGAAAUGCGCAGAUAUCAGGAGGAACACCAAUGGCGAAGGCAGCUCUCUGGGACGGUACUGACGCUGAGACGCGAAAGCGUGGGGAGCGAACAGG